UUUCUACCUCUUGUACCAAUUAUGUUCUUUAACUUUAUACAUACGACUAAAUAAGGCUAGAUUUUUCUUUUCUUCACAAGUGUCAAACCCCACUCAUUUAGGCUUAAGGCGUUGCUUGCUGUCAAUUCACCAUCUGCCGUAAACCGAACACGCACUGCAGUAUUCCAGUUUGUGUUUGAAUUGAACUAUGAGGAUGUGGAUAUUGUUUAUCAAUAUUUUUACAUUUACUGUGUAUUUUGCAGGGAAGUAUUCAGCAUCUGCUCUUCAAGAUGUAACAACUGACUUGUUUGGGUCUGAAAAUCAUGGCACUGUGGCUGCUUUUGGUGAUUUCAACUCGGAUAAACAGACAGAUAUUUUCAUCAUCAGAGAACAAUCUGAGUUGGUGAUAUUCUUGGCUGAUCUGAAAGCCCCAUACUUCAAGCCAAAAGUACAUAUCACUAAAAAGGAUUUGCCUGUCAAUUGUAUCAUAACCAGUGUUGUUCCCGGAGACUACGAUGGAGAUUCUCAGAUGGAUGUGCUGCUUACAGUUCAGCUCAAGACCAAGGCCACCUCAGACACAAUGGUUGUUGUAUUCUGGGGAAACAACCAAACCCUGGAUGAACAAGUUGACCUUAAUAAGACAUUUGUGGACCAACCUCUGAUAAUGGACUUCAAUGGGGACAUGAUUCCAGACAUCUUUGGGGUUUCUGCUGAUUUCUCCACUGAAGUCUGCUAUCUUACUGGAAGGAACGCAGUGUGGCAGCCAGCUCUUAGUUCACCUGUCAAGAUACGUAUUCCUCAUUCCAAUGCUUUCAUCGACAUAAAUAAGGAUUUCACCGCCGAUUUGUUCCUCACAACCCAAGUUGGCAAUGGUCUGGGCUUCGAGACGUGGAUUAAUAAGGAUGGGAAUUUCACCAAAACCCAGCCCGGAAGUAUACCAGAAAAUGUCAAGAAAGUUGGCCAGUCUUCUUUUGUCGACUUUAAUGGAGAUGGGUUCCAGGACCACCUUCUUCCAGUGUGUCUGGACGAUGCAUGCCACGGGAGUGCCAUCUACCUUUCUAAGCCAGGGGAACCUGAGUGGGUGCCAGUCCUGACCGAUUUCCAGAGGAGGGAGACUCUCUGGGGCUUCGUGCCCCCCCAGACUACCCCUCCUGCUGGGGAGCUCCACAACCCCAUCACUCUGCACCUGGGAGACUACAACAUGGACGGCUUCCCUGACGCCCUGGUCAUCCUGCGCAAUACUAGCGGGAGUGGUCAGCAGGCCUUCCUCCUGGAGAAUGUUCCGUGUGACAACGCCAGCUGUAAGGAUGUGGGCCGCAUGUUUCGUGUCCACUGGGACCAGUCUGACCUGGGGGCCAUCCCCGGGGCCGCCGUGGCCACCUUCUUCGACAUCUAUGAGGAUGGAAUAUUGGAUAUGAUCGUGCUCAGCAAAGAGGAGGGGAAAGAGGGCUUCAUCAUCCACGCUUUGAAGAACAACUUUGAAGCCGACGCGUACUUCGUCAAAGUGAUUGUGCUCAGUGGACUCUGUUCUAACGACUGCCCGGGAAACGUCAAGCCGUUUGGUGUGAACCAGCCUGGACCGUAUGUUAGUUACACUACUGUGGACUCCAACGGCUACCUGAAGAACGCCUCGGCGGGCCAGCUGAGCCAGUCGGCCCACCUCUCCCUGCAGCUGCCUUACACCGUCCUGGGUCUGGGGCGCAGCGCCAACUUCCUGGACCACCUGUACGUGGGUAUCCCCCGGCCCCUCGGGGACAAGGAUGUGAGGAAGCAGGAGUGGACAGCCAUCAUCCCCAACUCGCAGCUCAUAGUCAUUCCAUACCCACACAACGAGCCCCGCAGUUGGAGUGCGAAAUUAUAUCUGACCCCCAGUAACAUAGUCCUGCUGACCGCCAUCGCUCUGAGCGGAGUGUGUGUGUUCAUCCUGGUCAUCAUUGGCAGCCUCCACUGGCAGGAGAAGCCUGAGCCAAAGCCGGUUAUGUUCUGGUCAGAGCAGUGUGUGUCCUCUCUCAUCCUCCCCACCAUUGCCAGUCCAUAGUAUCUGGUGGGGGUCUUCUCUUCUCCUGGCCCUAGGGGGUUGCUGGGGAGCUCUGGUGCUCGUCCAGAGAGCAGGAGACCCGCUGUGGGAACAGGGCUCACUCGGAGAGGAACAGAUGGGUCAGAACCAGCAGAUGGGCCCUGUCCUCUAGCCUCCCACAGAGCUCCAGCACGGCUGUUAGAAAAGCGGACGACCGGGAGAAGAGACAGGAAGCACACCGGUUCCAUUUUGAUGCCAUGUGAAGGAGCACAGGAAGAGAUGGACCAUGGGAAAAAAAGUCAUGCCAGCUUUCUGUUUUAUUUAUUUAUUUAUGUUUGCUGGUCGAUGGAAUUGUUUAUUUAUUUGAUCCUCUCGGGCUCUUGACGAUGAGCCAUUUAAAGUGUUUAUAUAUCCAUUAGACAUUAUCAAAUGUAAAAGAGACAGACAGGUUACUUCUGGUAUACUUGCACAUUUCAAGGGCCAAAAUGAUGGAUGAACUCAAAUCUAAACAGGACUACUGAGUGAAAUUACACUGAGUUAUAUCCCAGUUUACUUUUUUAUUCAAUGGUUUGGCUCAGCUCAUUAUGUAUGGUUGUCAAAUGGGCACUAACAGUUUACGUCAUGAAUUUUGCAAUAAUGUUCAAUCCAAGCCAUCCUGAUCUGCAAAACACAUUACCGAUGUGUUUGUUUUGGGGGAAGCAUUGCUAUUGUAAUUCUACUUGAAUAUUUAUGUCUGUAAACCCAUUGUCUUCCUGUAUGUCAAUCUGCAAAGGUUAUUGUUUUCCGUGGACUGUUAUAGUGAGAUCUUACACAUAGAGUCCACUGACCCAAACAGGGUAUUUACGCUGGAUGCAUCCAUUGUGCUCUACUGUAUAUAAUGCACAUAGUACAUGGUCCAUAAUGAGGGGUUACUGUAUGUGUCAAGUUCAUUAUGUAUUUUUCCUCUCCUUUUUUCAAAUUCCCCUCCAAAUCCCUGACACAAUGUCUUAUCCUUGUUUGACCUCUCCCACUCUCCCACUGCCGUCACUCACAGUGGUCUUGGAAUGGCCUGUACUACUGACGCCUCUGGUUUGGUCACAUCCUUCGCUUUUUAGUCUUUCUCACUCUUAAUAAUCGUGUUUGUCUCGCAUGAUAAACACAGUGUGUUCUUGGGGUUUCAAACACUUAUGUGUUCAUUAAAAACGUACAUGAAACUGUGGCGGUCAACUGAAGAAUGGUCCACACAACACUUAAACUACUUCUACUUACAAGGGGAAAUAUGUUUGUUCAUUAACCAACAGAAAGUGCAAUCAUCAAUAUUAUCACCAAUGUCAAGUUUCUUCUAUUAAUCAUUCUAUUUCAUUUGGAAUUAAAGUGGGGCACAUGCUAUCAUCUCAUGUCUGUGGUUUAAAUAAUGAUUGAUAGUGAUCAGUCUAAUUGAUUGUAUUUUUGUGUUUGUGUGUGGAUUGUGUUUAUAAUCGGAAAUGUUCAACUGAAGUAUGAUCAUUUCUGUUGAGAAUGUUUAUGGGAUGAUGGGUUGAAAAUUAAAAGUGUUUAUCGUGCUUAA